UGUUAAAAAUUACAUCUAUUUCUACUAUUAAAAAUUGGUAUAACUAAUAGAAUAACCAGACUACAAGUGACGUGUCAUGUGUACCUUAUGUUGGCAUAUAGGAAUCAGUUUUUAACAGAAGAAAUGGAUGGAAAUUUACUC
rfam:Gossypium arboreum cultivar AKA8401 contig_4699_5, whole genome shotgun sequence.